GAUGAAGAACGCAGCGAAAUGCGAUACGUAAUGUGAAUUGCAGAAUUCAGUGAAUCAUCGAAUCUUUGAACGCACAUUGCGCCCGCCAGUAUUCUGGCGGGCAUGCCUGUCCGAGCGUCAUUUCAACCCUCGAACCCCUCCGGGGGGUCGGCGUUGGGGAUCGGCCCUCCCUUAGCGGGUGGCCGUCUCCGAAAUACAGUGGCGGUCUCGCCGCAGCCUCUCCUGCGCAGUAGUUUGCACACUCGCAUCGGGAGCGCGGCGCGUCCACAGCCGUUAAACACCCAACUUCUGAAAUGUUGACCUCGGAUCAGGUAGGAAUACCCGCUGAACUUAAGCAUAUCAAUAAGCGGAGGA
rnacentral:misc_RNA from 1 species